UGGGGAAUAUUGGACAAUGGGCGAAAGCCUGAUCCAGCCAUGCCGCGUGUGUGAAGAAGGUCUUCGGAUUGUAAAGCACUUUAAGUUGGGAGGAAGGGCAGUAAGCUAAUACCUUGCUGUUUUUGACGUUUACCGACAGAAUAAGCACCGGCUAACUCUGUGCCAG
rnacentral:rRNA from 1 species